rnacentral:lncRNA from 1 species
UGUGAGUAAUCCAAAGCAAGAUGAUUUAUGCUCAAAUGAGCUUAUUGAGAUUGAUUAAACUUAGAUAUUAGAUAGCUCAUGAAGAGCUUUAUUCAAAUGCAAAACUAAAAGAUAAAAGGAAAGAACUUGAGUUUGUCACCAAGAACACAAUGAUUCAAAGAUGAUAUUUCAUAAAAUGGUGAAGAAGGAGAGUUGCCUCUUUG